ACGAACGCUGGCGGCAUGCCUAACACAUGCAAGUCGAACGAGGUUUCCGCUUCGGUGGGGGCCUAGUGGCGCACGGGUGAGUAACGCGUGGGAACCUGCCCCGUGGUACGGAAUAACUCCGGGAAACUGGAGCUAAUACCGUAUGUGUCCCGAGGGACAAAGAUUUAUCGCCAUGGGAGGGGCCCGCGUAGGAUUAGCUUGUUGGCGGGGUAACGGCCCACCAAGGCUUCGAUCCUUAGCUGGUCUGAGAGGAUGAUCAGCCACACUGGGACUGAGACACGGCCCAGACUCCUACGGGAGGCAGCAGUGGGGAAUAUUGGACAAUGGGCGCAAGCCUGAUCCAGCAAUGCCGCGUGAGUGAUGAAGGCCUUCGGGUUGUAAAGCUCUUUCGCACGCGACGAUGAUGACGGUAGCGUGAGAAGAAGCCCCGGCUAACUUCGU
rnacentral:rRNA from 1 species